AUUGAACGCUGGCGGAAUGCUUUACACAUGCAAGUCGAACGGCAGCACGGGAGCUUGCUCCUGGUGGCGAGUGGCGAACGGGUGAGUAAUACAUCGGAACGUACCCUGACGUGGGGGAUAACACAUCGAAAGAUGUGCUAAUACCGCAUACGACCUGAGGGUGAAAGGGGGGGAUCGCAAGACCUCUCGCGUUUGGAGCGGCCGAUGUCGGAUUAGCUAGUUGGUGGGGUAAAGGCCUACCAAGGCGACGAUCCGUAGCUGGUCGGAGAGGAUGAUCAGCCACACUGGGACUGAGACACGGCCCAGACUCCUACGGGAGGCAGCAGUGGGGAAUUUUGGACNNUGGGGGCAACCCUGNUCCAGCCAUUCCGCGUGAGUGAAGAAGGCCUUCGGGUUNUAAAGCUCUUUCGGCAGGAACGAAACGGUGGGUCCUAAUACNAUCNGCUAAUGACGGUACCUGAAGAAGAAGCACCGGCUAACUACGUGCCAGCAGCCGCCGUAA
rnacentral:rRNA from 1 species